GACGAACGCUGGCGGCGUGCUUAACACAUGCAAGUCGAACGGAAAGGCCCUGCUUUUGUGGGGUGCUCGAGUUGCGAACGGGUGAGUAACACGUGAGUAACCUGCCCUUGCCUUUGGGAUAACUUCAGGAAACUGGGGCUAAUACCGGAUAGGAGCUCCUGCUGCAUGGUGGGGGUUGGAAAGUUUCGGCGGUUGGGGAUGGACUCGCGGCUUAUCAGCUUGUUGGUGGGGUAGUGGCUUACCAAGGCCUUGACGGGUAGCCGGCCUGAGAGGGUGACCGGCCACAUUGGGACUGAGAUACGGCCCAGACUCCUACGGGAGGCAGCAGUGGAGAAUAUUGCACAAUGGGCGGAAGCAUGAUGCAGCAACGCCGCGUGCGGGAUGACGGCCUUAGGGUUGUAAACCGCUUUCGCCUGUGACGAAGCGUGAGUGACGGUAAUGGGUAAAGAAGCACCGGCUAACUACGUG
rnacentral:rRNA from 1 species